UAAGACUCAUUUCCCUUACUCCCAAUUACUUUACCAAUCUCUCUCCUCACCCUUUCUCAACCUCAGCCUUAGACUGCCGCCGGAAAUCAUCCAUGGCGGCGGCCCAUCGCCAAACAGCCCUAAAAUAUCACCCCAUAAUCCCAAGCUUCCUCUUAUCACUAUUCUAUCGUUAAUUUUCCUCAAUUUCCAUUAGAACUCCAUGAAUUACAGAUCUCAGAAGGUCGAAAAACCCUAAGUUUGUCCUUUUCUAUUUCCCUUCAAUCUCGGCCUGUUUGAACCCAAGAUAGAUCAAUCAAUUGCUUUUGAUGAGAGAAAUCAAUUGAUGUUAGUCUUAGUUCAUAUCACAGCCAUCGGAGUCUGUUCGAGUCUUCUACUUGGCCAUUUAGUCCUUGUUGGUGUUUACUUAUUAGAUCCAGGUGCCCGAGCGGCAGAGUGAGGAUCCUCAGCUUAUUAAGAGUUUGCCGGAGAUUGCGAGAUGGUGAGGACACGUGCUACCGAGCAGGAUGGAUGACCAC